rnacentral:lncRNA from 1 species
GCUAUGUUUCAUAUUUGCCUGCUUAUAAGAACCACUUGGUAAGCUUAUUAAACAUAUUGAUGUCCAGGCUGCUCCCCUGUAGAUGCUGAUGUAGUAGGUCGUGAAAACUUCCAGGAUCUCAUGAACAUGCAAGUUUGGGAAAUGCAACUCUAACCAACAUAGCUAAUAGUGACUUUGACAUCAGACUGUGUCCAUAUGCUUUGAUCUGUGGGAAAUGUGAACAGCUUGGAAAAUUAUGUAAUUCAAAUCAGCAGUGCAAAAAUACAUAAGAAAACAGCAUCAGCCCAAACAACACCUGGAGAUAAACAGGUGGCCUACAUAUGCACUACAAGAUGAGAAACUCUGCUUUCUAGCACUUAGAUGAUAGAGGCACCCAUUGCCUCUGCUUGCUGUUGUAGCUAAUCCACCUAUAAAUACAUUUUUGAGUUCCUAGUAAAAUGCAUAGCACAUAUUAAUUGGUAGAGUAUUAAAAGAUAUAAGAG